rnacentral:rRNA from 2 species
CCAAAUUCUCAACGGUGGAUGUCUUGGUUCCCACAACGAUGAAGAACGCAGCGAAGUGCGAUAAGCAGUGCGAAUUGCAGAACCGUGAGUCAUCAGAUUUUUGAACGCAACUGGCGCCGUGCGGGGCAACCCACCGGCACGCCUGGUCCAGUG